rnacentral:rRNA from 1 species
AUUGAACGCUGGCGGCAGGCCUAACACAUGCAAGUCGAACGAGUGGCGGACGGGUGAGUAAUGUCUGGGAAACUGCCUGAUGGAGGGGGAUAACUACUGGAAACGGUAGCUAAUAGCGCAUACCAUCGGAUGUGCCCAGCUGGGAUUAGCUAGUAGGUGGGGUAACGGCUCACCUAGACGACGAUCCCUAGCUGGUCUGAGAGGAGGACCGGCCACACUGGACCGGGGCCACGGUCCAGACUCCUACGGAAGGCAGCAGUGGGGAAUAUUGCGCAAUGGGCGCAAGCCUGAUGCAGCCAGGCCGCGUGUAUGAAGAAGGCCUUCGGGUUGUAAAGUACUUUCAGCGGGGAGGCGUUACCCGCAGAAAAAGCACCGGCUAACUCCGUGCCAGCAGCCGCGGUAAUUC